UGGGCAACCUGCCCCAGACACUGGGAUAACUCCGGGAAACCGGGGCUAAUACCGGAUACUCUCAGCCAGCCGCAUGACCGGCUGAGGAAAGCUCCGGCGGUCUGGGAUGGGCCCGCGGCCUAUCAGCUUGUUGGUGGGGUAACGGCCUACCAAGGCGACGACGGGUAGCCGGCCUGAGAGGGUGACCGGCCACACUGGGACUGAGACACGGUCCAGACUCCUACGGGAG
rnacentral:rRNA from 1 species